rnacentral:rRNA from 1 species
AAGGGUAUGGCUGUUCGCCAUUUAAAGUGGUACGUGAGCUGGGUUCAGAACGUCGUGAGACAGUUUGGUCCCUAUCUGCCGUGGGUGUUCGAAGCUUGAGAGGAUCUGUCCCUAGUACGAGAGGACCGGGAUGGACAUACCUCUGGUGGACCUGUCGUGGCGCCAGCCGCGCAGCAGGGUAGCUAUGUAUGGAAUAGAUAACCGCUGAAAGCAUCUAAGCGGGAAACUAACCUCAA